GAGUUUGAUCGUGGCUCAGAUUGAACGCUGGCGGCAUGCCUUACACAUGCAAGUCGAACGGUAACAGGUCUUCGGAUGCUGACGAGUGGCGAACGGGUGAGUAAUACAUCGGAACGUGCUCAGACGGUGGGGGAUAACGAGGCGAAAGCUUUGCUAAUACCGCAUACGAUCUAAGGAUGAAAGCAGGGGACCGCAAGGCCUUGCGCGUUUGGAGCGGCCGAUGGCAGAUUAGGUAGUUGGUGGGAUAAAAGCUUACCAAGCCGACGAUCUGUAGCUGGUCUGAGAGGACGACCAGCCACACUGGGACUGAGACACGGCCCAGACUCCUACGGGAGGCAGCAGUGGGAA
rnacentral:rRNA from 1 species